rnacentral:rRNA from 1 species
GUCCACGCCGUAAACGAUGUGUGCUAGACGUUGGGGGACCUAGUCUCCCGGUGUCGCCGCUAACGCAUUAAGCACACCGCCUGGGGGAGUACGGCCGCAAGGUUAAAACUCAAAGGAAUUGACGGGGGCCCGCACAAGCGGUGGAGCAUGUGGUUUAAUUCGAUGCAACGCGCAGAACCUUACCAGCCCUUGACAUGGGGGUCGUAGGAUCCAGAGAUGGAUCCGUCGGUUCGGCCGGACCCCACACAGGUGCUGCAUGGCUGUCGU